UACGGGGGGAGCAAGCGUUGUUCGGAUUUACUGGGCGUAAAGGGCGCGUAGGCGGCACCGCAAGUCGGUUGUGAAAUCUCCGGGCUUAACUCGGAAAGGUCAACUGAUACUGCGGAGCUAGAGUGCGGAAGGGGCAACUGGAAUUCUCGGUGUAGCGGUGAAAUGCGUAGAUAUCGAGAGGAACACCUGCGGCGAAGGCGGGUUGCUGGGCCGACACUGACGCUGAGGCGCGAAAGCUAGGGGAGCGAACGGG
rnacentral:rRNA from 1 species